CGUACACUCCUACGGGAGGCAGCAGUGAGGAAUAUUGGACAAUGGGUGGAAGCCUGAUCCAGCCAUCCCGCGUGCAGGAAGACGGCCCUAUGGGUUGUAAACUGCUUUUAUCUGGGGAUAAACCUACUUACGUGUAAGUAGCUGAAGGUACCAGAAGAAUAAGCACCGGCUAACUCCGUGCCAGCAGCCGCGGUAAUACGGAGGGUGCAAGCGUUAUCCGGAUUUAUUGGGUUUAAAGGGUCCGUAGGCGGACUGAUAAGUCAGUGGUGAAAUCCGACAGCUUAACUGUCGAACUGCCAUUGAUACUGUUAGUCUUGAGUAAGGUUGAAGUGGCUGGAAUAAGUAGUGUAGCGGUGAAAUGCAUAGAUAUUACUUAGAACACCAAUUGCGAAGGCAGGUCACUAAGUCUUAACUGACGCUGAUGGACGAAAGCGUGUGGAGCGAACAGGAUUAGAUACCCGAGUAGUCCCA
rnacentral:rRNA from 1 species